rnacentral:rRNA from 1 species
AUUGAACGCUGGCGGCAUGCCUUACACAUGCAAGUCGAACGGCAGCACGGGUGCUUGCACCUGGUGGCGAGUGGCGAACGGGUGAGUAAUACAUCGGAACGUACCUUAUCGUGGGGGAUAACGCGGCGAAAGCUGUGUUAAUACCGCAUACGCCCUGAGGGGGAAAGCGGGGGAUCGAAAGACCUCGCGCGAUUAGAGCGGCCGAUGCCUGAUUAGCUUGUUGGUGGGGUAAAAGCCCACCAAGGCGACGAUCAGUAGCUGGUCUGAGAGGACGAUCAGCCACACUGGGACUGAGACACGGCCCAGACUCCUACGGGAGGCAGCAGUGGGGAAUUUUGGACAAUGGGGGCAACCCUGAUCCAGCAAUGCCGCGUGAGUGAAGAAGGCCUUCGGGUUGUAAAGCUCUUUUGUCAGGGAAGAAACACCGGCUCUAACACAGUCCGGGAAUGACGGUACCUGAAGAAUAAGCACCGGCUAACUAGGUGCCAGCAGCCGCAGUAA